CUGAGUAAAGUGGCGCACGGGUGAGUAACACGUGACUAACCUACCUCCGAAUGGGGAAUAACUGAGAGAAAUCUUAGCUAAUACCGCAUAAUACCUACGGGUCAAAGCAGCAAUGCGUUUGGAGAGGGGGUCGCGGUCGAUUAGUUAGUUGGCGGGGUAAUGGCCCACCAAGACGAUGAUCGAUAUCCGGCCUGAGAGGGCGCACGGACACACUGGAACUGAAACACGGUCCAGACUCCUACGGGAGGCAGCAGUGGGGAAUUUUGCGCAAUGGGGGAAACCCUGACGCAGCAACGCCGCGUGGAGGAUGAAAUAUCUUGGUAUGUAAACUCCUUUCGAUGGGGAAGAUAAUGACGGUACCCAUAGAAGAAGCCCCGGCUAACUUCGUGCCAGCAGCCGCGGUAAUACGAGGGGGGCAAGCGUUGUUCGGAAUUAUUGGGCGUAAAGGGUGCGUAGGCGGUUUGACAAGUCUUAUGUGAAAUCUCUGGGCUCAACCCAGAGUCUGCAUGGGAAACUGUCGGGCUUGAGUAUUGGAGAGGUGAGUGGAAUUUCCGGCGUAGCGGUGAAAUGCGUAGAUAUCGGAAGGAACACCUGUGGCGAAAGCGGCUCACUGGACAAUAACUGACGCUGAUGCACGAAAGCUAGGGGAGC
rnacentral:rRNA from 1 species